rnacentral:lncRNA from 1 species
ACUGAGUAUAAUAUUCCAUCCAGCCCAACUUUGCUUCCCUGAAGCUGAAUUCAUUCUGCUUUUAAGAAAUGGAUAUUGUCGCCAGCCUUGGGGCUCACACCUGUAACCCCAACACUUUGGGAAGCUGAGGCAAGAGAGAGGAUCACUUGAGCCCAGGACUGUGAGGCCUGCCUGGGUAACAGAGUAAGAUCCUGUCUCUAAAAAAAAUUAAAAAUUAGCUGGAUGUAGUGACACGAGACUGUAGCCCCAGCUACUUGGGAGGCCGAGGCGGGAGGAUCGCUUGAGCCCAGCAGGUUGAGGCUGCAGUGAGCCAUGAUCAUGCCACUGGGUGGCAGAGCAAGACCUUUUCUCCCAAUUAAAAAGAAAAGAAAUGGAGGGACUGGACUAUGCAGGUGCAUUAGUGCUAUGCGCCUGGCAGUGCUUUAAAGACAUUAAAACAUCCAAUUCAUAAUAUCCAGAUGAGGAAGUAUUUUCCAUGGAUGGUGAUUCCAACUAAAGGAAAGAGAGAAAAGUACACUGACGUUGACCAAGACCUUGAGGGGACUAAGAGGGAAAGUGAGAGCAUCACAUAACGAGAGCUGACGUCAAGGCUGGCCCAAUCAAGAAACGGCCUCAAAACCGUACAAUGUAGGAAACAGAAUCAUCACAAAGAAAAACAAUGUGAUCUUGGAACAGUGGCGACCUCAAAGCACAUCUCUACAUCUUGAUAAGAAAAAAGAGGAGACGUAGAAAAUCCCCCAGAACCAGACUCCAGUUUGGCUUACGGUCUGUCAUAACAUCACAGGCACCAGGAGUGGGCUCUUUGGUGAUGAGAGCGGAACUGAAAAUGGAAAUGGAAAUCAAACACACAGCCCCAGUCAGGUCCCAGGUUAGCUGACCUGCUCCUAAUGCCUGCUG